rnacentral:lncRNA from 1 species
CGUAACACACCACAGGAAGCAGCUCUCCUCCCAGCCCCCUGCCCCCGUAAGGGAUGGUGGAGGCUUGUCCAGAGGGUCUUGAGAAGCCCCCUGGGAGGGAGGGGAACGCGAGCACGCCAGCGCCCCUGCAGGGUGACUGGGCCCCUCUGGCUUGUCUUUCUGUGCCUUAGUCCUCCUUCCCUGCAUCUCCCCUCCCAGACCCGUUCUCAAGGCCUUGCGCCUCUCUCCGGUAUGAAAACACAAAGCACAGGUCAGGAUCCUCCGAAAGUCAGUCCAACAUUGCACCACGUGGGGUGGGUUGUGGGCUUUAUUUAUUGAGAAUCUAGUUGGUGAGGCUGCGGCCCUGAGCAGGCGAAUGGCCGCUAGCAGGGAGCUCGGGGCUGCGAGGCGGCUGUCCGGGCUCUCUGUGUGGAAGUUGAGCGA